rnacentral:misc_RNA from 1 species
ACUGGUUGGCCCUCAAGGACUUCUGGUUCUUCUUUCUCCACAGGUUAACUGAUUUUCUUACUUCGUGAGGAGGCAGAAUCACAUUGAUCAAUUUUGUUAUGUGAGACUUCAUGGUUAUAAAUGUAAACAUGUGAGGACUGAUUUCAUUAUUUAACCAUCAGAUAUUGAUGGUUCUUAAUUGCAUAAACAUCAACAAUUAGAAUAUUUGAAAAAUAUUUCUUCAUAUAUAUAUUUUUGAGCUGAAUA